AGCGAACGCUGGCGGCAGGCUUAACACAUGCAAGUCGAACGCCCCGCAAGGGGAGUGGCAGACGGGUGAGUAACACGUGGGAACGUACCCUUUGGUUCGGAAUAACUUGGGGAAACUCAAGCUAAUACCGGAUAAGCCCUUAUGGGGAAAGGUUUACUGCCGAAGGAUCGGCCCGCGUCUGAUUAGCUAGUUGGUGAGGUAAUGGCUCACCAAGGCGACGAUCAGUAGCUGGUCUGAGAGGAUGAUCAGCCACACUGGGACUGAGACACGGCCCAGACUCCUACGGGAGGCAGCAGUGGGGAAUAUUGGACAAUGGGGGCAACCCUGAUCCAGACAUGCCGCGUGAGUGAAGAAGGUCUUCGGAUUGUAAAGCCCUUUUGCCAGGGACGAUAAUGACGGUACCUGGAGAAUAAGCCCCGGCAAACUUCGUGCCAGCAGCCGCGGUAA
rnacentral:rRNA from 1 species